rnacentral:rRNA from 1 species
CCUACGGGGCGCAGCAGUGGGGGAUAUUGCACAAUGGGGGAAACCCUGAUGCAGCGACGCCGCGUGGGUGAAGAAGUAUUUCGGUAUGUAAAGCCCUAUCAGCAGGGAAGAAAGAAGACGGUACCUGACUAAGAAGCCCCGGCUAACUACGUGCCAGCAGCCGCGGUAAUACGUAGGGGGCGAGCGUUAUCCGGAUUCACUGGGUGUAAAGGGAGCGUAGACGGCCGUGCAAGCCAGGAGUGAAAGCCCGGGGCCCAACCCCGGGACUGCUCUUGGAACUGUGCGGCUGGAGUGCGGGAGGGGCAGGCGGAAUUCCUGGUGUAGCGGUGAAAUGCGUAGAUAUCAGGAGGAACACCGGCGGCGAAGGCGGCCUGCUGGACCGCGACUGACGUUGAGGCUCGAAAGCGUGGGGAGCGAACAGGAUUAGAUACCCGAGUAGUC